rnacentral:rRNA from 1 species
UAAAAAGCUCGUAGUUGGAUCUCAGGGUGAGCUCAGUUGGUCGGCCUAAUUGGUCAGAACUGGCUGACUCUCCCUUGUUUCUGAAUCCCGGUCGGAGUUAAUUCUUCGUUCGUGGACUUCAGAUCGUUUACCUUGAAAAAAUUAGAGUGUUCAAAGCGGGCGUUUGCUUGAAUACAUUAGCAUGGAAUAAUGGAAUAGGACCCUGGUUCUAUUUUGUUGGUUUUGAGGACCAGAGUAAUGAUUAAUAGGGAUAGUUGGGGGCAUUCAUAUUUAAUUGUCAGAGGUGAAAUUCUUGGAUUUAUGAAAAAUGAACUUCUGCGAAAGCAUUUGCCAAGGAUGUUUUCAUUAAUCAAAAACGAAAGUUAGGGGAUCGAAAAUGAUCAGAUACCAUCGUAUUCUUAACCAUAAACUAUGCCGACUAGGGAUUGGGAGCGGUUGGUUCAUUGACCCUCUCAGCACCUUACGAGAAAUCAAAGUUUUGGGGUUCCGGGGGGAGUAUGGUCGCAAGGCUGAAACUUAAAGGAAUUGACGGAGGGGCACCACCAGAAGUGGAGCCUGCGGCUUAAUUUGACUCAACACGGGAAAACUUACCA